GGUCAGUGAUGAGUGUUGGCAUGUAUUAUCUGAUUUGGAGCUGAUGUCUCACCGUGUUAGCUCUAGAAUUACUCUGAGACCCA
rnacentral:snoRNA from 1 species